CGCUAGGGAUUCAAACCGCUGAACUGCCAACCUUUCUGAUCGACAAGCUCAGCAUCUUAGCCAUUGACCCACCACAUCCCUUAUGAGCUAAGUAGAGAAUCAGAAAUCCCACUGAGCCAGAGUCCCACUUAAUAAAGCAAACUACCUACUAAUAUUUGCAUGGAAAUAAAGAAAAUAUAGGAAAUCUGCAGUUCAGCUGCAAGUUCAAUAUUAAUUUAUUUGAAAUGUUGAAUAUCUAUUUGUAAUAUAAAGACUGAAAUUUGCCUUAUUAUAAUAUCAAUAUAGUUUUAUUCUUUCUUAUUCUCUAUUCCCAGAUGAUAAUUUUACUUGGAUGUUAGUCCAUUUUAAUAGGGUAGAAUUUUUUUUCUAGAUAAGGUACAUUAAGUAAACCUAUGGGCCAACCUUUCUAAUUUUUUAUGGCUAUCUCUAUUCUUUAAUUUAGGGGAAACGAUGUUUAAAGGGAAUUCUAAAAUAGAGGUCUGAUUCAGUUUUUCUUCAACUUUAUCCCCCACUUUCCCUCCUUAGCUGUCACCCACAUCUUUACUAUUUAAUGUUGUAUUUAGUUAGGGCUCCAGUAAUAUAUAGUUUGGCAAAAUAUAUGUUCUCCCUUAGAGUAUUUCGGCUGAAAUGCUGAUAUCGCAUGAAUAAACCUGCAAGGCUCAAGUGUUCUCUCUUUUAUUGCAAAUAACUCAAGAAGGAUCCAGACUGCCUGCUCUCAAAUCUGACCUUCUAUUCCCAAGCAGGAAGUUGACUGAAAAUCUACCAGCGUCCAUAUUAGAGCAGGUGAUACUGAUUUAGAAUCAGCUUCCACUAAUCUAUCAUCCUUCACAUGACUUAGAACUGAAGCUCCAUAUCAUCAUCAUCUUCUUCUUUAUAGGGCUGAAUAUUCUACUGUCGUGGUAAAUAGCCUGAUAAACCUUUAAGACUUCAACGCUACCAUCAAAUUACAAUUAAAAAUGUUAUAGAAGGGAAGAAUUGCUAAAUGGAGGGGAUAAAUAAUAUUAAUCAGAUUUAAUUGUAUUUAUAUUUAAUAAAAUCUACAUGUUAAUGAAAUCAUACAUUUAUUACAUUUUGGUUCUCCCGUCCUCUUGUUUGAACAGGAUUACUACAGAUCAGUUGCAGAUCAAAACAUGUAUUUAUUUCUGUCUUCCAAAUAUAUAAUGAGAUAACUCGAUAGAAAUGGGUUUAAGGAAAAAUGGCAAUGGCUUAUUCAUUUUUAAAAAUUCUCUUCCUCUUUUCCUCUCCAUUAAUAUUUUCUGCUUAAUUUCAGAUCUCCUAAACAAUAUUUGUGGAGCACACAGGGCUAUCAGCUGAUCCCCAAAGAGUAUUAUACUGAUUGGUGGUAAAUUUCUAAAAUAGGAGAAAAGUAUGUUUUGCCUUAAAAUGCUAAUAUAUUAUCGUAAUAAUACCUGAGCAAAUAGUACUACAGAUUUUAAUUUUCCAAGGGAGGAAAAUAGUACAUCUUAGCAGUCAUUCAAUUCCACUGACUUAGAGACUGCUCCUUUGGCGUCACAGUUUUUUAAAAAAACCUACUCAAAGUAAUAUGUUAUGACUAAUUUUAAUUACUCAAGUGAAACAUCCUACCUGCGUUUCACAUCAAGAGUGACUUUUGGACCUGAAAUUCCUGCUUGGCAAUGAACAUAAGGCAAAAAAAAAAA